UGGCCUAAAUAUAUAUUUUUAAAGCACCAGAUCUCGGCUGGUCUCGGAAGCGAAGAAGGGUAAUCCGUAGUUAGCAUUUGGAUGAGGGGCCACCAAUGAAUGCCAGGUGCUCCAGGCUAU
rnacentral:rRNA from 11 species